GCGAUUAUUCGUUUCACUGCAACUUGCAGCUCACAAAUUAUUUUAAUUUGGAAUAUUUUUGUCAGGUCAGUAUUGUCAUCUGUCAUGCUAUAAAAUGGCCCUGACACUGGUGAUCUACAGCUUGCUGGAAGGGGCUUCAGCCCUGUUUAUUUCUCCCAGGAUGUAAUCUGUGCUCAGACUGACCAUGUCGCUUUGGGCCACCACAGAGGGCCGAGCACUGGGGCCUCAAGCCGACCUCUACCCGGGUGUUCAAUAAUAGAUGCCAUGCUGUUGACACAUGGCAGGUGGCAACACAACAUUUCACAGGUUAGAUGAAUAUUUCAUAUCAAAGCUGUGCAAUCACAGCGCACAUUCCUGUUUGAAGUUUGGGGAAUGGAUCACGGCGAAAAUUGGGACAUGUGUUGAGCUGUUUACAAUUACUCCAGCCAUCUGGAAAUUAGAGUAACGUGCUACGGUUCAAAGAAAACACAUUAUAAAACAGGCUGUAAAAAUCUGUCGCCGGUUUUGAAGGUGCUGGUGUAGUCAUUUUGAAAAUAAAACAGAGGAGAUUAAUAAUGUAUUAGUAAAUAGUGGAUUGUAAACCAUUUUGCCUGACAAGUAGUUUCCUUUUAUUGCAUCCCUGGUUGAGUAUCUUGGAUAUAGUGUAUUGCCCUUGGACAGGAGCAGCUGUGAUGUAUUAUCCGUCUUUGGACAAGCCUCCCAGAGCGAGAUCUAACUGGAGCAGAACAGAAGAGAGAAAAGUGACAUCCAACCUCUUGAUGGCCUUGUAGCAGAUGAUGAUGGCUGAGAGGAGGAAGACGACUGAGGCACAGCCCACCGUUCCGAGCACUACAAUGUCCAUCUCCAUCCACCAGGGCCUCAACAAGGGCACCAUGGGCUCUGCCACUUAGAGAAAAAACAUAGAAGAAGAAGAGGGAGCAAAGGGAGGAGGAGGAGAGAGAUUUGGAUACAGAAGAAGAGAAUGAGUGGAACGAAUUUAACAAAAUAAAUCAGAAAACAUUCA